rnacentral:rRNA from 1 species
GGGUCUACCACCGGGAUGUUCAUAACCCUUUGUUGUCCGACUCUGUUGCCUCCGGGGCGACCCUGCCUUCGGGCGGGGGCUCCGGGUGGACACUUCAAACUCUUGCGUAACUUUGCAGUCUGAGUAAACUUAAUUAAUAAAUUAAAACUUUUAACAACGGAUCUCUUGGUUCUGGCAUCGAUGAAGAACGCAGCGAAAUGCGAUAAGUAAUGUGAAUUGCAGAAUUCAGUGAAUCAUCGAAUCUUUGAACGCACAUUGCGCCCCCUGGUAUUCCGGGGGGCAUGCCUGUUCGAGCGUCAUUUCACCACUCAAGCCUCGCUUGGUAUUGGGCAACGCGGUCCGCCGCGUGCCUCAAAUCGACCGGCUGGGUCUUCUGUCCCCUAAGCGUUGUGGAAACUAUUCGCUAAAGGGUGCUCGGGAGGCUACGCCGUAAAACAAACCCAUUUCUAAGGUUGACCUCGGAUCAGGUAGGGAUACCCGCUGAACUUAAGCAUAUCAAUAAGGCGGAGGAA